CCCUGCGGUUGUUCUGGUCGGGAGAGACCGGAUUUUGUACUGCGUGAGGAGGAGGGAUCGUACACAGUCAGGAAGGUGAGUAAGAUAUGGGCUCUCGAAAGUUGGUAACGCUACGUUUCUGUCAUCGUUGCGUGAAUGACAACUUCACCCUGCCAUUGCACCAACCCGAAAAAAAUUUGCGUCUAGUUUCAGAAGUUCAAUUCGUGGGUGCAGUUCAGAUUUUUGUGAGGUCCGAGUGUCUGAUUCUUGUUUGCAACUGUUUACACGCUUGUUUGAGAUGCUUGAUGGGAGUUUCCACAUGGAGCUGCACUUCAAAACUCAAGAAUUCUGGCGACUGUUGAAGGUAAAGAUGAAAACCCUUCAGCUAUUCCUGGCAAACAUGCCUCAGGCGUGUCCAAGGUGAGGCGCUAGUGGUAGAUGUUGUAGGUGCAGUUUCAUGCUGCAAAGUUGUACAUCUUUAAACGCACACAAACACCGCGGAGCCGUGUGGAUCUCUUCUGUUACAGCUCCCUUGAGCUCAGUCCUUGCACUGGAAAGGCAGCCAAUGUAUACAUUAACUUGGACAACAGGUCUCACCAUCCGAUCACACAAUGCUUCUCAAUUUCACGUCAGGGCGCGUCAGCAGAAGAAGCUGAAAUUUUCAUGAAUGCUCUGGAGAAAGGUCUGGAACAGUUAUAAAGUAGGGCAUGUAGUUCCUGCAUUUCUAACAACCGUUGUACGAGACAAGGGUGUUGGAGCAGGAAAGAAUUUUGCGGGACAGGGAAGGUUCGUUGUGAAUCAGUUGUUGCUAAGGUGCCGUGGUGGGUUCGGUAUUAUUUCUUAAAAAGCAUGUUAGAGCUCAGCUGCUACGUGAGACAACAAUAGGGUUGGCAAACAACGCCGAAAUUGACCACCGUAGCCUGUGUACUCGAGGAGUAACUUGUAAAUGUGCUGUGGUAAAUCCUACAACCUCUCUCAUGCACUUCUCGAAGGAGUUCGCACUUUAGCAUAAGGGUUUACAAAUUGCAAAACCUGCGCGCGCGAACAAGACGACAUCACAAUUCAGUUCUAUCUGGCUCAAACCAGCUCUCCUACAUAACUCCUACUCAAGUUAUCAGUUGAAUCGCGAAGGCUUGAUUCAAUUUAUGAAGCAAUCAAUUUUAGGAAUUCGCAACAUCCCCACAAAAGGAACGCAUGCAUCCAGCUUUAACGUGAAUUUUCUGCCGAGCAUAUUAUUGAUGUGAGUGGAGCUGCACAGCGCUUCUUCUUAGGUUCUCAGAAUUCCCUCUACAGCCCUGAAGCCUUCUCUUUUCCAGUCGGGGUGUCUGUUGUCCCAUACAUUUCAUUCCUAUUCAAUAGCCCUCAAGGAUUCAGUACUGUGAAGCUUGAUCUGCAGAGGAUUGUAGUGCAGUCGUCCGAACUUCAAGGACCAUGGUCCGAGAUUUACAAUGCAUGAGAUGUGGUUGACGCGCUUGCCAAUGCGCUGCAGUAUGCGCGUCAUCAGUUGGUGACGCUCAUGACGACUUUCUAGGGCAACUCGACGCGAAUUAAUGACAGAUGUGAUGCGUACAAUACUUGCUCGCUUGUGAGCUCCGGCCGCUUGUAUUCACUUUUGUAGUGUUUACUGAGAAUAGAAGAUCACGAGUUUCAACAGCAACGUCCUUCUGCUUCACAUCAGUGAUCAGAGUUGUGGCAAAUAAUCUCGAUUCGAACCUCCCUAGUGUAUUCUGCGACAUGCAAUGUUUGCUUAAAACACUUCUCGUAUGGACACAGAGGGAGAGGUUAAUGCAUUGAAGGCCACGAUCAGACGAAAGUAUACUGUCGGCAGGUCAUGAUUUUGUGGCUUAACGUGAAAUCCUGCUUACUUGAGAGCGACCGAGCCCACGGGUUUGUACCGCAACGCUUCCGACAGUCUCCAAAGUCAUCCUUUAAGCUUAUGAAAGACCCCAUUCAUAGUGGAGUGUCUAGUUCUCUGCUAGGGAUUGCUGUGUAAUUUGCCCUUGGCGUGUUCGGUGCAAAAAACGAGUCCUUCACACGCUUUUCAGAAGCAAAGACAGCACAAAUUGCAACAA